GUUGUAUGGUUAAGUGACUAAGCGUACAUGGUGGAUGCCUUGGCAGUCAGAGGCGAUGAAGGACGUACUAACCUGCGAUAAGCUGUGAGAAGUCGGUAAGAGACGCUAUUACUCACAGAUUUCCGAAUGGGGAAACCCACCCAAGAUAACUUGGGUAUCGCUACGUGAAUACAUAGCGUAGCGAGGCGAACCGGGAGAACUGAAACAUCUAAGUACCCCGAGGAAAAGAAAUCAACCGAGAUUCCCUCAGUAGCGGCGAGCGAACGGGGAUUAGCCCUUAAGCAUCUUGGAAGUUAGUGGAACGGUCCUGGAAAGGCCGGCGAUACAGGGUGAUAGCCCCGUACACGAAAACAACCUUGAUGUGAAAUCGAGUAGGGCGGGACACGUGACAUCCUGUCUGAAUAUGGGGGGACCAUCCUCCAAGGCUAAAUACUCCUGACUGACCGAUAGUGAACCAGUACCGUGAGGGAAAGGCGAAAAGAACCCCUGUGAGGGGAGUGAAAUAGAACCUGAAACCGUGUACGUACAAGCAGUGGGAGCCCUUAGGGGUGACUGCGUACCUUUUGUAUAAUGGGUCAGCGACUUACAUUUUGUAGCGAGGUUAACCGUAUAGGGGAGCCGUAGGGAAACCGAGUCUUAACUGGGCGUCUAGUUGCAAGGUGUAGACCCGAAACCGGGUGAUCUAGCCAUGGGCAGGUUGAAGGUUGAGUAACAUCAACUGGAGGACCGAACCCACUAACGUUGCAAAGUUAGGGGAUGACCUGUGGCUGGGGGUGAAAGGCCAAUCAAACUCGGAGAUAGCUGGUUCUCCCCGAAAGCUAUUUAGGUAGCGCCUCGGACGAAUACUACUGGGGGUAGAGCACUGUUUGGGCUAGGGGGUCAUCCCGACUUACCAACCCCAUGCAAACUCCGAAUACCAGUAAGUAAUAUCCGGGAGACACACGGCGGGUGCUAACGUCCGUCGUGAAGAGGGAAACAACCCAGACCGCCGGCUAAGGUCCCAAAGUUCUGGUUAAGUGGGAAACGAUGUGGGAAGGCUCAGACAGCUAGGAUGUUGGCUUAGAAGCAGCCAUCAUUUAAAGAAAGCGUAAUAGCUCACUAGUCGAGUCGGCCUGCGCGGAAGAUGUAACGGGGCUCAAACCAGGCACCGAAGCCGCGGAUUCACACUUAUGUGUGAGUGGUAGGGGAGCGUUCUGUAAGUCUGCGAAGGUGUAUCGAGAGGUAUGCUGGAGAUAUCAGAAGUGCGAAUGCUGACGUAAGUAACGAUAAAGGGGGUGAAAAGCCUCCUCGCCGGAAGACCAAGGGUUCCUGUCCAACGUUAAUCGGGGCAGGGUGAGUCGACCCCUAAGGCGAGGCCGAAAGGCGUAGUCGAUGGGAAGCAGGUUAAUAUUCCUGCACGACUUGUAAUUGCGAUGGGGGGACGGAGAAGGCUAGGUGGGCCAGGCGACGGUUGUCCUGGUGAAAGUGCGUAGGUGGUGUUUCUAGGCAAAUCCGGAGACACAACACUGAGACACGAGACGAACACACUACGGUGUAGAAGCCAUUGAUGCCCUGCUUCCAGGAAAAGCCUCUAAGCUUCAGAUUACAAGUCAUCGUACCCCAAACCGACACAGGUGGUCGGGUAGAGAAUACCAAGGCGCUUGAGAGAACUCGGGUGAAGGAACUAGGCAAAAUAGAACCGUAACUUCGGGAGAAGGUUCGCUCUUGACAGUGAAGUCCCUCGCGGAUGGAGCAGUUGGGAGUCGCAGUGACCAGAUGGCUGGGACUGUUUAUCAAAAACACAGCACUCUGCAAACACGAAAGUGGACGUAUAGGGUGUGACACCUGCCCGGUGCCGGAAGGUUAAUUGAUGGGGUUAGCGCAAGCGAAGCUCUUGAUCGAAGCCCCGGUAAACGGCGGCCGUAACUAUAACGGUCCUAAGGUAGCGAAAUUCCUUGUCGGGUAAGUUCCGACCUGCACGAAUGGUGUAACCAUGGCCAUGCUGUCUCCACCCGAGACUCAGUGAAAUCGAAUUCGCCGUGAAGAUGCGGUGUACCCGCGGCUAGACGGAAAGACCCCGUGAACCUUUACUACAGCUUGGCACUGAACAUUGAACCUACAUGUGUAGGAUAGGUGGGAGGCUUUGAAGGCGUGACGCCAGUUGCGCUGGAGCCGUCCUUGAAAUACCACCCUUGUAUGUUUGAUGUUCUAACGCAGGCCCAUGAAUCUGGGCCGCGGACAGUGCCUGGUGGGUAGUUUGACUGGGGCGGUCUCCUCCCAAAGAGUAACGGAGGAGCACGAAGGUUGGCUAAUCCUGGUCGGACAUCAGGAGGUUAGUGCAAUGGCAUAAGCCAGCUUAACUGCGAGACGGACAGGUCGAGCAGGUACGAAAGUAGGUCAUAGUGAUCCGGUGGUUCUGAAUGGAAGGGCCAUCGCUCAACGGAUAAAAGGUACUCCGGGGAUAACAGGCUGAUACCGCCCAAGAGUUCAUAUCGACGGCGGUGUUUGGCACCUCGAUGUCGGCUCAUCACAUCCUGGGGCUGAAGUCGGUCCCAAGGGUAUGGCUGUUCGCCAUUUAAAGUGGUACGCGAGCUGGGUUCAGAACGUCGUGAGACAGUUCGGUCCCUAUCUGCCGUGGGCGUUGGAUGAUUGAAGGGAGUUGCUCCUAGUACGAGAGGACCGGAGUGAACGAACCUCUGGUGUUCGGGUUGUCACGCCAGUGGCACUGCCCGGUAGCUAAGUUCGGAAUCGAUAACCGCUGAAAGCAUCUAAGCGGGAAGCGAGCCCUGAGAUGAGUCAUCCCUGACCCCUUGAGGGUCCUAAAGGGCCGUUGGAGACCACAACGUUGAUAGGUGGGGUGUGUAAGCGCGGCGACGUGUUGAGCUAACCCAUACUAAUUACCCGUGAGGCUUAACCAUACAACACCCAAGAAGUGUUCUG
rnacentral:rRNA from 1 species